AGCGAACGCUGGCGGCAGGCCUAACACAUGCAAGUCGAACGAACUCUUCGGAGUUAGUGGCGGACGGGUGAGUAACACGUGGGAACGUGCCUUUAGGUUCGGAAUAACUCAGGGAAACUUGAGCUAAUACCGGAUGUGCCCUUCGGGGGAAAGAUUUAUCGCCUUUAGAGCGGCCCGCGCCUGAUUAGCUAGUUGGUGAGGUAAAGGCUCACCAAGGCGACGAUCAGUAGCUGGUCUGAGAGGAUGAUCAGCCACAUUGGGACUGAGACACGGCCCAAACUCCUACGGGAGGCAGCAGUGGGGAAUCUUGCGCAAUGGGCGAAAGCCUGACGCAGCCAUGCCGCGUGAAUGAUGAAGGUCUUAGGAUUGUAAAAUUCUUUCACCGGGGACGAUAACGACGGUACCCGGAGAAGAAGCCCCGGCUAACUUCGUG
rnacentral:rRNA from 1 species